GACGAACGCUGGCGGCGUGCCUAAUACAUGCAAGUAGAACGCACAGUUUAUACCGUCGUUUGCUACACCAUAGACUGUGAGUUGCGAACGGGUGAGUAACGCGUAGGUAACCUGCCUGGUAGCGGGGGAUAACUAUUGGAAACGAUAGCUAAUACCGCAUAAUAUUAAUUAUUGCAUGAUAAUUAAUUGAAAGGUGCAAUUGCACCACUACCAGAUGGACCUGCGUUGUAUUAGCUAGUAGGUGAGGUAACGGCUCACCUAGGCGACGAUACAUAGCCGACCUGAGAGGGUGAUCGGCCACACUGGGACUGAGACACGGCCCAGACUCCUACGGGAGGCAGCAGUAGGGAAUCUUCGGCAAUGGACGAAAGUCUGACCGAGCAACGCCGCGUGAGUGAAGAAGGUUUUCGGAUCGUAAAGCUCUGUUGUAAGAGAAGAACGGGUGUGAGAGUGGAAAGUUCACACUGUGACGGUACCUUACCAGAAAGGGACGGCUAACUACGUG
rnacentral:rRNA from 1 species